UACGGGGGGAGCAAGCGUUGUUCGGAUUUACUGGGCGUAAAGGGCGCGUAGGCGGCCACCGCAAGUCGGUUGUGAAAUCUCCGGGCUUAACCUGGGAACUGCGUCUGAUACUGGGAGGCUUGAGUAUGGGAGAGGGAUGUAGAAUUCCAGGUGUAGCGGUGAAAUGCGUAGAUAUCUGGAGGAAUACCGGUGGCGAAGGCGGCAUCCUGGACCAUAACUGACGCUGAGGCGCGAAAGCUAGGGGAGCAAACGGG
rnacentral:rRNA from 1 species